AUACGUAGGGGGCGAGCGUUGUCCGGAAUGAUUGGGCGUAAAGGGCGCGUAGGCGGCCCGGUAAGUCUGGAGUGAAAGUCCUGUUUUUAAGAUGGGAAUUGCUUUGGAUACUGUCGGGCUUGAGUGCAGGAGAGGUAAGUGGAAUUCCCAGUGUAGCGGUGAAAUGCGUAGAGAUUGGGAGGAACACCAGUGGCGAAGGCGACUUACUGGACUGUAACUGACGCUGAGGCGCGAAAGUGUGGGGAGCAAACAGGAUUAGAUACCCUGGUAGUCCACACUGUAAACGAUAAUGCUAGGUGUAGGGGGUAUCGACCCCUUCUGUGCCGCAGUCAACACAAUAAGCAUUCCGCCUGGGGAGUACGGCCGCAAGGUUGAAACUCAAAUGAAUUGACGGGG
rnacentral:rRNA from 1 species